AGACGAGUGCAGUGGUGCGAUCUCGGCUCACUGCAACCUUUGCCUCCUGGGUUCAGGUGAUUCUUCUGCUUCAGCCUCUCAUUAUAGCUGGGAGUACAGGCACCCACCACCACGCCCAGCUAAUUUUUGUAUUUUUCAUAGUGACAGGGUUUCACCAUGUUGGCCAGGCUGGUCUCGAACUCCUGAUCUCAGGUGAUCUGCCCACCUCGGCCUCCCAAAGUGCUGGGAUUACCUACUGGUAGUGCACUGAAUAUCUGUGUGUGUCCUUUUGUGCUGGGGUUCUUUGCGUCUUCAUGGGUAUGUCCAGGUGGGUCUGUGUCCCACUAAGCUGAGUGGGUACCUCUCUUACCCCACUGAAGUGUCUUCCUGGCUACAAUGGUGAUAACUGUGAGGACGACGUGGACGAGUGUGCCUCCCAGCCCUGCCAGCACGGGGGUUCAUGCAUUGACCUCGUGGCCCGCUAUCUCUGCUCCUGUCCCCCAGGAACGCUGGGUGGGUGCUCUGCGAGAUUAAUGAGGAUGACUGCGGCCCAGGCCCACCCCUGGACUCAGGGCCCCGGUGCCUACACAAUGGCACCUGCGUGGACCUGGUGGGCGGUUUCCGCUGCACCUGUCCCCCAGGAUACACUGGUUUGCGCUGCGAGGCAGACAUCAAUGAGUGUCGCUCAGGUGCCUGCCACGCGGCACACACCCGGGACUGCCUGCAGGACCCAGGCGGAGGUUUCCGUUGCCUUUGUCAUGCUGGCUUCUCAGGUCCUCGAUGUCAGACUGUCCUGUCUCCCUGCGAGUCCCAGCCAUGCCAGCAUGGAGGCCAGUGCCGUCCUAGCCCGGGUCCUGGGGGUGGGCUGACCUUCACCUGUCACUGUGCCCAAGUCUUGACCUCUUCUCUUCCCCCUCUCUCCCCUUGACUCUUCUUUUCCCCACUCCUCCA
rnacentral:lncRNA from 1 species